rnacentral:lncRNA from 1 species
GUCGCCGCCAUUUCAAGACCGUACUAGGUAAAUGGUCAAUUAGAGUUCCUAGGGUUUGAAGCCUGUAACUGCUGCCGCCGCUCAAGCCCUCCAGAGCAUUGCUACGGCUGCUGCCCUUGUACUACUACCUCCAAAUACGUUCUUGCCGGUAGUGGCGGCAGCAGGACCAAUUACCUCUUUUUUGCUCUCCCUCGAGAAGCUCCAGAUGGCGUCUUCCGUGGGCAACGUGGCCGACAGCACAGGGUUAGCUGAGUUGGCACAUCGAGAAUAUCAGGCAGGAGAUUUUGAGGCAGCUGAGAGACACUGCAUGCAGCUCUGGAGACAAGAGCCAGACAAUACUGGUGUGCUUUUAUUACUUUCAUCUAUACACUUCCAGUGUCGAAGGCUGGACAGGUAGGAGAUGUUGGGGUACCUGCUCGUGAUUGCUGCCUCUGGGUGCUGAGCUUGAAAAAUGAUACUUAAAUAUUUGAACUUGAAAUUUUUCCAGUACCGGGUUUCAACUGAGCCGCCAACGCACAUCUGCUCUCUUGCCCACUUGUGACAUGCCCAGCUGCCAGUUUUUCUCCUUCCUUUUGUGGUGGUGGUUAUAUUAUCAGUAUGACUAGGGACCUUUUCUAGAUUUUUCUAUCUUGGUCUGCUGCUUUCUAGACUCUGUUCAGGUAAUAAAUUAUUAUCAAUGUAUAUCUGAGCAUCCAGUCUCCCUUUCAUGAGACCUGUCAGUUUGAGGGACUGAAAUGCUCAGAAAUGAUGGUUAUGUAUGCUGUGGCAGGAGAUGCA